GACGAGCGCUGGCGGCGUGCUUAACACAUGCAAGUCGAACGGUGAAGGGACCGGUUUUUGCUGGUUCUGGAUGAGUGGCGAACGGGUGAGUAACACGUGAGUAACCUGCCCCCUUCUUCUGGAUAACCGCAUGAAAGUGUGGCUAAUACGGGAUAUUCUGCGCCUGCUGCAUGGUGGGUGUGGGAAAGAUAUUGUUUCGGUGGGGGAUGGGCUCGCGGCCUAUCAGCUUGUUGGUGGGGUGAUGGCCUACCAAGGCGGUGACGGGUAGCCGGCCUGAGAGGGUGGACGGUCACACUGGGACUGAGACACGGCCCAGACUCCUACGGGAGGCAGCAGUGGGGAAUAUUGCACAAUGGGCGCAAGCCUGAUGCAGCGACGCCGCGGGAGGGAUGGAGGCCUUCGGGUUGUAAACCUCUUUCGCCAGUGAAGCAGGCCUGUCCCUUUUGUGGGUGGGUUGACGGUAGCUGGAUAAGAAGCGCCGGCUAACUACGUG
rnacentral:rRNA from 1 species